GCCACGGGCGCCUGUUUUCUGCGAGAGGUGGCAGCCAGGAACAAAAAAAGUUGCUGAAUAUUGAGACUGUAACCAUUUUUGCCUUGAUGAUGAAUCUUCUUGACUUGGGAC
rnacentral:lncRNA from 14 species